GAGUCGAGUUAUUUGGGACUAUAGC
rnacentral:rRNA from 1 species